GGGUUGUGAGGUUAAGCGACUAAGCGUACACGGUGGAUGCCCUGGCAGUCAGAGGCGAUGAAGGACGUGCUAAUCUGCGAUAAGCGUCGGUGAGGUGAUAUGAACCGUUAUAACCGGCGAUUUCCGAAUGGGGAAACCCAGUGUGUUUCGACACACUAUCAUUAACUGAAUCCAUAGGUUAAUGAGGCGAACCGGGGGAACUGAAACAUCUAAGUACCCCGAGGAAAAGAAAUCAACCGAGAUUCCCCCAGUAGCGGCGAGCGAACGGGGAGGAGCCCAGAGCCUGAAUCAGUGUGUGUGUUAGUGGAAGCGUCUGGAAAGGCGCGCGAUACAGGGUGACAGCCCCGUACACAAAAAUGCACAUAUUGUGAGUUCGAUGAGUAGGGCGGGACACGUGGUAUCCUGUCUGAAUAUGGGGGGACCAUCCUCCAAGGCUAAAUACUCCUGACUGACCGAUAGUGAACCAGUACCGUGAGGGAAAGGCGAAAAGAACCCCGGCGAGGGGAGUGAAAAAGAACCUGAAACCGUGUACGUACAAGCAGUGGGAGCCUCUUAAUGGGGUGACUGCGUACCUUUUGUAUAAUGGGUCAGCGACUUAUAUUCUGUAGCAAGGUUAACCGAAUAGGGGAGCCGAAGGGAAACCGAGUCUUAACUGGGCGUUAAGUUGCAGGGUAUAGACCCGAAACCCGGUGAUCUAGCCAUGGGCAGGUUGAAGGUUGGGUAACACUAACUGGAGGACCGAACCGACUAAUGUUGAAAAAUUAGCGGAUGACUUGUGGCUGGGGGUGAAAGGCCAAUCAAACCGGGAGAUAGCUGGUUCUCCCCGAAAGCUAUUUAGGUAGCGCCUCGUGAAUUCAUCUCCGGGGGUAGAGCACUGUUUCGGCAAGGGGGUCAUCCCGACUUACCAACCCGAUGCAAACUGCGAAUACCGGAGAAUGUUAUCACGGGAGACACACGGCGGGUGCUAACGUCCGUCGUGAAGAGGGAAACAACCCAGACCGCCAGCUAAGGUCCCAAAGUCAUGGUUAAGUGGGAAACGAUGUGGGAAGGCCCAGACAGCCAGGAUGUUGGCUUAGAAGCAGCCAUCAUUUAAAGAAAGCGUAAUAGCUCACUGGUCGAGUCGGCCUGCGCGGAAGAUGUAACGGGGCUAAACCAUGCACCGAAGCUGCGGCAGCGACACUAUGUGUUGUUGGGUAGGGGAGCGUUCUGUAAGCCUGUGAAGGUGUACUGUGAGGUAUGCUGGAGGUAUCAGAAGUGCGAAUGCUGACAUAAGUAACGAUAAAGCGGGUGAAAAGCCCGCUCGCCGGAAGACCAAGGGUUCCUGUCCAACGUUAAUCGGGGCAGGGUGAGUCGACCCCUAAGGCGAGGCCGAAAGGCGUAGUCGAUGGGAAACAGGUUAAUAUUCCUGUACUUGGUGUUACUGCGAAGGGGGGACGGAGAAGGCUAUGUUGGCCGGGCGACGGUUGUCCCGGUUUAAGCGUGUAGGCUGGUUUUCCAGGCAAAUCCGGAAAAUCAAGGCUGAGGCGUGAUGACGAGGCACUACGGUGCUGAAGCGACAAAUGCCCUGCUUCCAGGAAAAGCCUCUAAGCAUCAGGUAACAUCAAAUCGUACCCCAAACCGACACAGGUGGUCAGGUAGAGAAUACCAAGGCGCUUGAGAGAACUCGGGUGAAGGAACUAGGCAAAAUGGUGCCGUAACUUCGGGAGAAGGCACGCUGAUAUGUAGGUGAAGCGACUUGCUCGUGGAGCUGAAAUCAGUCGAAGAUACCAGCUGGCUGCAACUGUUUAUUAAAAACACAGCACUGUGCAAACACGAAAGUGGACGUAUACGGUGUGACGCCUGCCCGGUGCCGGAAGGUUAAUUGAUGGGGUUAGCGGUAACGCGAAGCUCUUGAUCGAAGCCCCGGUAAACGGCGGCCGUAACUAUAACGGUCCUAAGGUAGCGAAAUUCCUUGUCGGGUAAGUUCCGACCUGCACGAAUGGCGUAAUGAUGGCCAGGCUGUCUCCACCCGAGACUCAGUGAAAUUGAACUCGCUGUGAAGAUGCAGUGUACCCGCGGCAAGACGGAAAGACCCCGUGAACCUUUACUAUAGCUUGACACUGAACAUUGAGCCUUGAUGUGUAGGAUAGGUGGGAGGCUUUGAAGUGUGGACGCCAGUCUGCAUGGAGCCGACCUUGAAAUACCACCCUUUAAUGUUUGAUGUUCUAACGUGGGCCCCUUACCGGGGUUGCGGACAGUGUCUGGUGGGUAGUUUGACUGGGGCGGUCUCCUCCUAAAGAGUAACGGAGGAGCACGAAGGUUGGCUAAUCCUGGUCGGACAUCAGGAGGUUAGUGCAAUGGCAUAAGCCAGCUUGACUGCGAGCGUGACGGCGCGAGCAGGUGCGAAAGCAGGUCAUAGUGAUCCGGUGGUUCUGAAUGGAAGGGCCAUCGCUCAACGGAUAAAAGGUACUCCGGGGAUAACAGGCUGAUACCGCCCAAGAGUUCAUAUCGACGGCGGUGUUUGGCACCUCGAUGUCGGCUCAUCACAUCCUGGGGCUGAAGUAGGUCCCAAGGGUAUGGCUGUUCGCCAUUUAAAGUGGUACGCGAGCUGGGUUUAGAACGUCGUGAGACAGUUCGGUCCCUAUCUGCCGUGGGCGCUGGAGAACUGAGGGGGGCUGCUCCUAGUACGAGAGGACCGGAGUGGACGCAUCACUGGUGUUCGGGUUGUCAUGCCAAUGGCACUGCCCGGUAGCUAAAUGCGGAAGAGAUAAGUGCUGAAAGCAUCUAAGCACGAAACUUGCCCCGAGAUGAGUUCUCCCUGACUCCUUGAGAGUCCUGAAGGAACGUUGAAGACGACGACGUUGAUAGGCCGGGUGUGUAAGCGCAGCGAUGCGUUGAGCUAACCGGUACUAAUGAACCGUGAGGCUUAACCUUACAACGCCGAAG
rnacentral:rRNA from 1 species